rnacentral:rRNA from 1 species
UACGUAGGGGGCAAGCGUUGUCCGGAUUUAUUGGGCGUAAAGAGCGUGUAGGCGGCCAAGCAGGUCAGCUGUGAAAACUCGAGGCUCAACCUCGAGACGUCGGUUGAAACCGCUUGGCUAGAGUCCGGAAGAGGAGAGUGGAAUUCCCGGUGUAGCGGUGAAAUGCGUAGAGAUCGGGAGGAAUACCAGAGGCGAAGGCGGCGACCUGGACAGAUACUGACACUCAACUGCGAAAGCGUGGGGAGCAAACAGG